GACGAACCGUGCGAACGUUAUUCGGAAUCACUGGGCUUAAAGCGUGUGUAGGCGGAUCGUUAAGUGCCUUGUGAAAUCCCACGGCUCAACCGUGGAACUGCUUGGCAUACUGGCGAUCUUGAGCCACUUAGGGGCUACCGGAACAAAUGGUGGAGCGGUGAAAUGCGUAGAUAUCUGGAGGAACACCGGUGGCGAAGGCGGCAUCCUGGACCAACACUGGCGCUGAGUGAGCGAAAGCCAGGGGAGCAAACGGG
rnacentral:rRNA from 1 species